rnacentral:rRNA from 1 species
AUACGUAGGGGGCGAGCGUUGUCCGGAAUUACUGGGUGUAAAGGGUGCGUAGGCGGGACUGCAAGUCAGAUGUGAAAUGCCGGGGCUCAACCCCGGAGCUGCAUUUGAAACUGUGGUUCUUGAGUGAGGUAGAGGUAAGCGGAAUUCCUAGUGUAGCGGUGAAAUGCGUAGAUAUUAGGAGGAACACCAGUGGCGAAGGCGGCCUGCUGGACGACAACUGACGCUGAGGCGCGAAAGCGUGGGGAGCAAACAGGAUAGAUACCCUGGUAGUCCACGCUGUAAACGAUGAAUACUAGGUGUGGGGGGACUGACCCCCUCCGUGCCGCAGUUAACACAAUAAGUAUUCCACCUGGGGAGUACGAUCGCAAGAUUGAAACUCAAAUGAAUUGGCGGGG